rnacentral:rRNA from 1 species
UACGUAGGGGACGAGCGUUGUCCGGAAUUACUGGGCGUAAAGGGCGCGCAGGCGGAUAUUUAAGUCAGCUGUUAAAGUCAUGGGCUCAACUCAUGGAUGCGGUUGAAACUGGGCAUCUAGAGUGCUGGAGAGGUAGGCGGAAUUCCCGGUGUAGCGGUGAAAUGCGUAGAUAUAGGGAAGAACACCAGUGGCGAAGGCGGCUUACUGGCCAGCAACUGACGCUGAGGCGCGAAAGCCAGGGGAGCGAACG